rnacentral:tRNA from 1 species
AGGGCUAUAGCUCAGUUAGGUAGAGCACCUCCGAGAAGGUCUACGGUUCGAGUCCGUAUAGUCCUA